GCUGAAAAGGUGUGCCAAUUUAUUUGUUGCAUUAAUAUUUUUGUAUAUUAUUGUCAUGCAAUAUUUUUGGUUUAAGGUAGUUUUAUGUUCUUAUUCUUUCUCUAUUUCAUAUAUAAUUAGGUUAAGGUUAAAUGUGAAUUAAUAAUUUGAUGCGUAAUAAUGACGUAAUGACGUGCACAGGAAGUCUUGUGAUACACGUAGUAAGUAGUUGGGAAGACGUGCUUUCAGUCUUUUGGACCUGCGCUGCUCAAGGAGCAACAUGUGUGCAACAGUGUGUCCGUAAAGCCUUAGCAGCUCCUGAUUUUCCGGUCAGAAGGCGCACACGUUUUUCACGGUGUUUGGUGUUGGUGUUUGGUGUACUUUGUGUCUGAAGACAUUAAAUCAUUGGAAAAAAUAAACAUCACUCUCAUUAAG